rnacentral:rRNA from 1 species
AAUUUUUAUGGAGAGUUUGAUCCUGGCUCAGGAUGAACGCUGGCGGCGUGCCUCAUACAUCCAAGCCG